UAGGGAACAGAGGAUGAUUCAUGA
rnacentral:misc_RNA from 1 species